GUAGGUGAACCUGCGGAAGGAUCAUUACUGAAUUGUCAAACGGGCUGUUGCUGGUCCUCGAAUGGGGACAUGUGCACGCUCUGUUUACACAUCCACUCACACCUGUGCACCCUCUGUAGUUUUACGGUCUGGGGGACCCUGUCUUCCUUCUGUAGUUCUACGUCUUUACACACACACUGUAAUAAAGUCUUAUGGAAUGUAUGCCGCGUCUAACGCAACACAAUACAACUUUCAGCAACGGAUCUCUUGG
rnacentral:misc_RNA from 1 species